rnacentral:sRNA from 1 species
UUGCUGAUAUGCCUUAACGAGGUCGAUGG